CCGACCACCCGCCCCUGCCCUGUUGGCCACUACUGCCCAGGAGGGAAUGAGACCAGCCCAGGAAUGCCCCAGGCCUGCCCUGAGCACACCUACCUGGCUGCAGAAGGAGGCCAGAGUCUGGCAGAGUGCCUCCCUUGCCCUCCUGGGUACCACUGCCUGUCCCCAGGUCUCUCUUCUUUCAAAAGCCACCCAUGUCCUCCAGGCUACUGGUGUCCAGGUGAUCAGGGCGCUGUUCUAUGCCCACCAGGCACCUUUCGGAUCAAGCCAGGGGCAUCAUCACAAGAAGACUGUGAGCUCUGUCCCCCUGGCCACUACUGCCCCCAGGCUGAGCUGAGGGGUCAUGCAAAUGUGUUUGUGAUCCCCUGCAGAGCUGGAUCUGAAUGCCCUGCAGGUGCUGCGGCUGAGGUCACAUGCAGGGCUGGCUCCUACUGCGGGCCUCAGACGGGGGUCCCCCCACUUUGCCCCGGGGGUUAUGCCUGCCCUGCCGGCUCCUCCACCUACACGGGCCCAGGGCAGCUGUGAGUACCCUCCCCUGUCUGUGUGUCUGGGCUCUCCCUGUGUCUCAGCCUCUGGGUUCUCCAGAGAGGAGUCAACCCCGGCGUCCCAAAGGAUGCAGACCAAAACAACAGGGCCCAGAGGCAAGCACGGGCUAACCAUCUGCUUGGGUUUCCCAGUUUGAGUGUUCAGGUGCCCCAGUCCCUGCCUCUGUCCCUGG
rnacentral:lncRNA from 1 species